AGAGACUGCAAGCGUUAUUCGGAUUCACUGGGCGUAAAGGGUGCGCAGGCGGUUGGGUGUGUCAGAUGUGAAAUCCCGAGGCUUAACCUCGGAACUGCGUCUGAAACUACUCGACUAGAGUACUGGAGAGGGUAACGGAAUUCACGGUGUAGCAGUGAAAUGCGUAGAUAUCGUGAGGAACACCAGAGGCGAAGGCGGUUACCUGGACAGUUACUGACGCUCAGGCACGAAAGCAUGGGGAGCAAAAGGGAUUAGAUACCCCUGUAGUCCAUGCCCUAAACGGUGCACACUAGGUCUUAGCGGAUUCGACCCCACUAGGGCCCAAGCUAACGCGUUAAGUGUGCCGCCUGAGGACUACGGUCGCAAGACUAAA
rnacentral:rRNA from 1 species